AAUUUUCUGGGACCACGUUCAUUACUCACGAACUUUGGCAGGUGGAAGCCUGCUCACCUCUCCCAGAGGAUGUCUGCUCCGGCUAAUGGAAUUCUUCUGUUUUCCUAUGGCUCUGUUUUGUUUUCUUUAGGCACUGAGUCAAAUGGCAUGUGCCAGUGUGGGUGGUAGCUGUCCCCGCUGCUACUGUCCUGGCAUGGCUAUGACCCUUCUCUCUCUAUCAGCAUCAAGAGGAUGCCGUCAUCCCGUGGCGCCCAGCAAAGCCCUCCAUCCUCCACCUCCUAGAGCAUCACGUUGUCUCCAGGUCCUUCCCUUUCGCCAUUAACUGUGAAAUACCCAGCGCAGGAAAUGAAGAGAAUUAUGAGUGAGAAAAUGCAGCCCACCGAGAAGCAAAUCCUCACUGCAAACCCAGUGGUUGGAAUCCCUGACUUGAUUGAUUGCCCUCACGGACUCUCUUCUCGCUGGCAAGAGCAUCCUCGCCCCUGCCCAGGACCACAGAGCCACCUCCUCCGCGCUGCUCACCGGACCAGCCAUCCAUUAUCCCUCCCUCAACAGCUGUUUUCUGCUUGCACUCCAUGCAACGGGAGGCUUUUAAAUUCCUUCUUUCUUUCUUUCUUUCUUCUUUCUUUCUUUCUUUCUUUCUUUCUUUCUUUCUUUCUUCUCUCUUUCUUUCCUUUCUUUCUUUCCUCCCUCCUUUCCUUUCUUUCUUUCCUCCCUCCUUUCCUUUCUUUCUUUCCUUUCUUUCUUUCGUUCUUUCUUUCUUUCUUUCUUUCUUUCUUUCUUUCUUUCUUUCUCCUUUCUUUCUUUCCUCCCUCCUUUCCUUUCUUUCUCUUUCUUCCUUCCUUCCUCUGUCUCUCUCUCUCCCUUCCUUCUUCCCUCCCUCCUUCUCUUUCUCUUUCUUUCUUUCUUUCUUUCCUCCCUCCCUCUCUUUCUUUCUUUCCUUUCUUUCUUUCCUUUCUUUCUUUCCUUUCUUUCUUUCUCUUUCUUUCUUUCUUUCCUCCCUUCCUUCUUCCCUCCCUCCCUCUCUUUUUCUUUCUUUCUUUCUUUCUUUCUUUCUUUCUUCUUUCUUUCUUUCUAGGUCUCUAUAGCUUCCAUAAUUUCCUUUUGGGAUCUAAGACUGUUCUUAUUUAUUUAUUUAAUUUUUGAGAGAGAGAGAGAGCGCUCACAAGCAGGGGAGGGGCAGAGACAAAGGGAGACACAGAGUCUGAAGCAGGCUCCAGGCUCCGAGCUGACAGCACAGAUCCCAACACAGGGCUUGAACUCACAAACCGUGAGAUCAUGACCUGACCUGAAGUCAGACGCUUAACCUACUGAGCCACCCAGGGGCCACAUAACUAAGAUUAUUCUUCCCUUUUCCCCAAUUACUAUAUUUGACAGCACAAAAUUAAGAAUCUGGUCAUCACAGGUUUAACAUCUCCAUAAGUGGGACAGGUAGACCAGAGCCCCAGGGACAGCAGUCCUAUCUUUGCUUCCCCUGGUGCCACGGCAACAUUGUGCCUGCUGGGGGCUCACUGCAGGGUGGGGGGGUCACAAAGUCCGAGUGGUUCCCUGUGCUCUGAGUACCUGAGACCCACACAGAUAGCACCAGGCUCUGUCUGGAAAACAGGCUGCUGUCUUCUUUUCCUUCCAGGCAAUAACAUAAUGAAGGAUUCUUAAAAGCAAAACGAACAGCAGAAAGGUUGGUGCCUUCGCUAAAUCCAGCAGACCGGACAGCCUACACAGAAAAUCAUCAGGAUGGGUAUCCUUACGGAGCCAAAAUGUAAAAUUUUCCACAACAGUGAAGUUUCCCUUCUAAAUAAGAGCAAUUGCCAUUAUCUUGCAGCUCGAUCUUUAUAUUCAUAAAGAGGCCCCUCGAUUCUUUUUUAUUACUCUGUCCACAGUUUACCCAAAGGGUGAAUAAUUGACGCUGGUAAUUCCUAUCGUAUUUCUGGAAAAAUUAGGAGACAGAAGAGUGAAAUGACUUCUAUCGGGUACACAGUAAGUCAGUGGCAAAUCUAAAUUAGAACUCAGGUGCUUGGGUGGCUCAGUUGGUUGAUUGUCCGACUUUAGCUCAGGUCAUGAUCUCACAGUUUGUGGGCUCAAGCCCUGUAUUGGGCUCUGUGCUGACAGCUCAGAGCCUGGAGCCUGCUUUGGAUUCUCUGUCUCCCUCUCUCUGUGCCCUUCCCCUGCUCACACUCUGUCUCUCUCUCUCUCUCUCUCUCUCUCUCUCAAAAGUAAAUAUUACAUUUUUUAAAAAAAUAAAUAAAUUAGAACUCAGCGUCCUUUUGAGUUC
ensembl:lncRNA